UACAGAGGGGGCAAGCGUUAUUCGGAAUUAUUGGGCGUAAAGGGCGCGUAGGCGGCCUGGCAAGUGGAAGGUGAAAUCCCUCGGCUUAACCGAGGAACUGCCUCCCAAACUGCUUGGCUUGAGACCGGGAGAGGUGAGUGGAAUUCCCAGUGUAGCGGUGAAAUGCGUAGAUAUUGGGAGGAACACCAGUGGCGAAGGCGGCUCACUGGACCGGUACUGACGCUGAUGCGCGAAAGCCAGGGGAGCAAACGGG
rnacentral:rRNA from 1 species